GACGAACGCUGGCGGCGUGCUUAACACAUGCAAGUCGAACGGAAAGGCCCUGCUUUUGUGGGGUGCUCGAGUGGCGAACGGGUGAGUAACACGUGAGUAACCUGCCCUUGACUUUGGGAUAACUUCAGGAAACUGGGGCUAAUACCGGAUAGGAGCUCCUGCUGCAUGGUGGGGGUUGGAAAGUUUCGGCGGUUGGGGAUGGACUCGCGGCUUAUCAGCUUGUUGGUGGGGUAGUGGCUUACCAAGGCUUUGACGGGUAGCCGGCCUGAGAGGGUGACCGGCCAAAUGGGAACAGAGAAACGGCCAAGACGCAAAGGGGGGGAAGGAGGGGGGAAAAUUGAAAAAGGGGGGGAAGCAGGAUGAAGAAACGGCGGGGGGGGGAAGAGGGCCUUGGGGUUGGAAACCGGUUUGGCCGGUGAAGAAGGGGGAGGGACGGAAAUGGGAAAAGAAGCACCGGCUAACUACGG
rnacentral:rRNA from 1 species